UUUCAGAUUGUUCAAAAAAUCAAAACCCACAUCUUUUAGUUUCCAUCGCCCGCUGUUCCAGUUCGGGUUCACCGUUCGCAAGCUUCAGCCGCUGGCCUGCUGUGUCUCAACUCUCGAGCUUGCCCCCUCUCUCUCUCUCUGCAACUGGUAACUUGUCUUUUUUCUGAAAGAAGAGAGUUGAUGGGAAUGGGUGGAGUUGGCAAAAAGAAAAUAGUGUGGAUCAAUACACUAUUACGUUAUACAAGGUAAUGGAAAACUUCAGAGCGACUAUGAUGUUGCUACGAGACCACCAUUGACGAGUGGGUCAAGAAGUAUGAAGCUAUGUUUUUGGCCAUUUUACCUAACGGCCCCGCUCAAUCCAAGGCACCUACUUACCAGCAAAGGCAUUAAGAUAAUUGGAGGCAUGUUUGCUUUGACACAUCUACACGAUCUGGGAUUCCACACUAGUGGAAAGUGGAAAAACAUUUAUGUUGUCAAACAUAGCUCAAGAUUGUUGGCAGACCUUGAGAAAGGAGUGAGAAAGGAGUGGAGGACGGUUUCCGAAAAUUAUCUCAAAUUUUCUGAAUGGAUCGAAUUGAAACUGUUCCCUCCAAAGAAGGAUGAAUUCCCCGACAUACUGGAGUGGGGUCGCUUAAGCCAAACAUUCGACAUUAUUACGUCCUGUAGAUGGGACUUAUUUCAUAACUAGGCUUCUUGACAACGUAACAUCACUGAAUUGCUAUUCACGUCUUGUGAAACAAUUUCAAAGUUUCAAAAUGACUGUGAACGGGAAGUAGGUAAAAGAUUGGCGAAGGUGUGUUCCCCUAAUACUGAACUGUCUAAGGU